rnacentral:rRNA from 1 species
UACGUAGGUGACAAGCGUUGUCCGGAUUUACUGGGCGUAAAGAGCGCGCAGGCGGUCGAUCAAGUCGAGUGUGAAAGCCCCCGGCUCCAACUGGGGAGGGUCAUUCGAUACUGAUCGACUCGAAGGCAGGAGAGGGUAGUGGAAUUCCCGGUGUAGUGGUGAAAUGCGUAGAUAUCGGGAGGAACACCGGUGGCGAAGGCGGGUCUCUGGGCAGUAACUGACGCUGAGGAGCGAAAGCGUGGGGAGCGAACAGG